UACGUAGGGGGCGAGCGUUGUCCGGAUUUAUUGGGCGUAAAGAGCGUGUAGGCGGUUCGGUAAGUCUGUCGUGAAAUCCUGAGGCUCAACCUCGGGCGUGCGAUGGAUACUGCCGGGCUAGAGGAUGGUAGAGGCGAGUGGAAUUCCCGGUGUAGCGGUGAAAUGCGCAGAUAUCGGGAGGAACAUCAGUGGCGAAAGCGACUUCCUGGACCAAUACUGACGCUCAUGUGCGAAAGCGUGGGGAGCAAACAGGG
rnacentral:rRNA from 1 species